UGUCCGGCAGCCCGGCCGAGCCGAACGCCUCGUAGGCGUACCCGGCGCCGUUCGGCCCGUCGAUGGACAC
rnacentral:tRNA from 1 species